rnacentral:rRNA from 1 species
UGCCAGUCGAGCGGUAGCACAGAGAGCUUGCUCUCGGGUGACGAGCGGCGGACGGGUGAGUAAUGUCUGGGAAACUGCCUGAUGGAGGGGGAUAACUACUGGAAACGGUAGCUAAUACCGCAUAACGUCGCAAGACCAAAGUGGGGGACCUUCGGGCCUCAUGCCAUCAGAUGUGCCCAGAUGGGAUUAGCUAGUAGGUGGGGUAAUGGCUCACCUAGGCGACGAUCCCUAGCUGGUCUGAGAGGAUGACCAGCCACACUGGAACUGAGACACGGUCCAGACUCCUACGGGAGGCAGCAGUGGGGAAUAUUGCACAAUGGGCGCAAGCCUGAUGCAGCCAUGCCGCGUGUAUGAAGAAGGCCUUCGGGUUGUAAAGUACUUUCAGCGAGGAGGAAGGCGUUAAGGUUAAUAACCUUGGCGAUUGACGUUACUCGCAGAAGAAGCACCGGCUAACUCCGUGCCAGCAGCCGCGGUAAUACGGAGGGUGCAAGCGUUAAUCGGAAUUACUGGGCGUAAAGCGCACGCAGGCGGUCUGUCAAGUCGGAUGUGAAAUCCCCGGGC